GAUUAACGCUGGCGGCGUGCCUAAUACAUGCAAGUCGAGCGAACGGACGAGAAGCUUGCUUCUCUGAUGUUAGCGGCGGACGGGUGAGUAACACGUGGAUAACCUACCUAUAAGACUGGGAUAACUUCGGGAAACCGGAGCUAAUACCGGAUAAUAUUUUGAACCGCAUGGUUCAAAAGUGAAAGACGGUCUUGCUGUCACUUAUAGAUGGAUCCGCGCUGCAUUAGCUAGUUGGUAAGGUAACGGCUUACCAAGGCAACGAUGCAUAGCCGACCUGAGAGGGUGAUCGGCCACACUGGAACUGAGACACGGUCCAGACUCCUACGGGAGGCAGCAGUAGGGAAUCUUCCGCAAUGGGCGAAAGCCUGACGGAGCAACGCCGCGUGAGUGAUGAAGGUCUUCGGAUCGUAAAACUCUGUUAUUAGGGAAGAACAUAUGUGUAAGUAACUGUGCACAUCUUGACGGUACCUAAUCAGAAAGCCACGGCUAACUACGUGCCAGCAGCCGCGGUAAUACGUAGGUGGCAAGCGUUAUCCGGAAUUAUUGGGCGUAAAGCGCGCGUAGGCGGUUUUUUAAGUCUGAUGUGAAAGCCCACGGCUCAACCGUGGAGGGUCAUUGGAAACUGGAAAACUUGAGUGCAGAAGAGGAAAGUGGAAUUCCAUGUGUAGCGGUGAAAUGCGCAGAGAUAUGGAGGAACACCAGUGGCGAAGGCGACUUUCUGGUCUGUAACUGACGCUGAUGUGCGAAAGCGUGGAGAUCAAACAGGAUUAGAUACCCUGGUAGUCCACGCCGUAAACGAUGAGUGCUAAGUGUUAGGGGGUUUCCGCCCCUUAGUGCUGCAGCUAACGCAUUAAGCACUCCGCCUGGGGAGUACGACCGCAAGGUUGAAACUCAAAGGAAUUGACGGGGACCCGCACAAGCGGUGGAGCAUGUAGUUUAAUUCGAAGCAACGCGAAGAACCUUACCAAAUCUUGACAUCCUUUGACAACUCUAGAGAUAGAGCCUUCCUCUUCGGGGGACAAAGUGACAGGUGGUGCAUGGUUGUCGUCAGCUCGUGUCGUGAGAUGUUGGGUUAAGUCCCGCAACGAGCGCAACCCUUAAGCUUAGUUGCCAUCAUUAAGUUGGGCACUCUAAGUUGACUGCCGGUGACAAACCGGAGGAAGGUGGGGAUGACGUCAAAUCAUCAUGCCCCUUAUGAUUUGGGCUACACACGUGCUACAAUGGACAAUACAAAGGGCAGCGAAACCGCGAGGUCAAGCAAAUCCCAUAAAGUUGUUCUCAGUUCGGAUUGUAGUCUGCAACUCGACUACAUGAAGCUGGAAUCGCUAGUAAUCGUAGAUCAGCAUGCUACGGUGAAUACGUUCCCGGGUCU
rnacentral:rRNA from 1 species